UAAGUAAAAGUUUAUUUCUAUAGCACCUUUCACAGGUAUAGGGCCACAAAGUGCUUCACAACAAAAACAUUAAUAUCAUAAAAUACACACAAUAAAAGCAUAGACAGUACAUGAUCAUAUCAACCCACAAGUAGCUAAUUGAAAGCCUGAACAAAUAAAUGUGUCUUUAGUCUGCAUUUGAAGGCAUCAACAGAAUCAGAAGAGCGCAUAGAUGGUGGAAGGUCAUUCCACAACCUAGGGGCAACAGCCUGAAAAGAUCGGUCACCUCUAGUACGGUAGCGAGUGCGUGGAACCGUCAGCAGGUUCUGAUCCACAGACCUCAGAGCACGCACAGGGGUAUAACGCUGAAUCAGGUCACUAAUAUAGGGUGGAGCCUGGCCAUGUAAAGCUCUGAAAACUAAAACCAAAAUUUUAAAAUUU